rnacentral:tRNA from 1 species
GGGGGCAUAGCUCAGCUGGUAGAGCGCUUGAAUGGCAUUCAAGAGGUCAGGGGUUCAAGUCCCCUUGUCUCCA